CCUGAAAAAGAUGGCUCCUUUAUCAUUGAUCCCUCGCUCUAUUGGGAAAAAACAAAAAAAAAAAACCACAGCACGGUUUCUUCAGAAAGCAAAAAAAAGCACAAAAGAACUCGGGCAUAAGAAAGUGGAGGAAUUAGAAGAAUCAACACUUUUUCCUCUUUCCUUUAUUUUAUUUUAAUCAAAACAUUUUUUUCUGCUCAACUGAUUUUUUCACCAU
rnacentral:lncRNA from 1 species